GGUGCAACGGAUAGCACGUAAGCCUCCGAAGCUUAAAAUGUGAGUUCGAUUCUCGC
rnacentral:tRNA from 1 species